ensembl:lncRNA
GUGAGGAGCGGACUUCCGGGGCCGGCGGGCGGGCGGGCGGGGAGACCGGGAGGCUGGGAUCCCGGCGGGAGGCCGCCCAGGCCCCGCUCGGCGCCGGUGCUGAGGGUCGGGAAGGCUCCUGGAGUGGCGGCCGUCAAGGCCGGGCCGGGGCGCUGUUCGCGGCUGAGCCGAAUGCGGGGUUGUUUUCAGCCGUGUAACCUGUUGGCCAGCCUGCGUGCUGCCUGCCUCGCAUGCCCGGAGAGGCUCUAGGGUGGCAGGGCCCUGCCUCGGGACUGCAGCCGAGUCAUGUGAGGAGACCGGCGGUGUGCCAGGCUGGCUGCCUGCAGGACGGCACCUUGGCUGGGCAGGAUGAAGGCUCUCUACACUUCAGUAGGCACUCAGUAGGUACAUUCUCCUGGUUGAUGCCCUCAAUCUUUGUGAUCCAGUCAUGGAUGCUGUCCAUGAGGGGGCAGGGCCUGCUUCCAGCUUGCCUGUACUGCUUGAGUGUAGGCCUGGUGUUUCCAGUGGAAUCCAUGCUCCGUCUCUGUGUGAAGCCAUCGAAACUGAUGUGAGGAUCUGUCUUUUGAUUUUAUAGGCUUUGUUUUGUUUCACAGUGCGGACAUUAAAAUAAUCUAGCAGGAUGGGAUUUGUUAAUUUCCCUUUUGGUUUUUGGGUUUUGUGUCAGGCUAGAAAGGCCCACCCCUUACUGGGGGUCACGUGGAUGGUCCACGCCUCCUGCGGUUGUCCCUCAGCACGGCUGUGUCUGUGGUGUGUGCUGGCCCCCGUGCCUCCUGCAGACCCCUCCCCAGCCCUGCGAAGCUCCCCCAUCUGUGCCUCCACAGACCCCUCCCUUCCAG